UCACCGAGUCCCAGAUGCGAAUGGGACCCUGCUCCUCUGCAUGGUGAAGACGUGCAUGCCCAGCCUGGUGACAGAGAGUGUCCAGUGUCGCUGAAGACAAAUGUCAAACAUUCAGAAGGUAGAGAGUAGUACACAUGUUUUAGGACAGUUUCCAUUUUUGUACCCAUGUCAAUACUUCAUACACUGUUGUGCUGUACUGUGGGUAGUGUAAGGGGCCUCUGAUUUGUAUAAGAUUGGUAUAGAAGCAAGUGUUGGUUCUAAUCAUCAUGUACACAAUGAAAUAUGAUAAUCUUACUUCUCAGAAUUUAUGAUGGACUGUGUGAUUCAAAAGAUCCAGGCAGAAUCACUCAAAAAUGACUUCCUUGCUUUGAAAGCCCUCCUUGUCCAUGCUGAGCCCAUACUUGACUUAGCUGCUAAUCCUCAUGUUUCUCUUUCUGGGAUGGGGAGGAAAAUCCGAUGCAGUGUUUUCUUUUGUUAACCUCCUCCUGUGCCUCCAUCCAAGAUCCUGCUCAUCCUGUGAGCCAAUGGAGGGAGGCAUCCUUACAGCUCCUUGUGCUAUGGUGCUCAGCGAGCCUCCAGUGUCCCUGGCAACAUGGAAUUAACCACCAUCUCCUAGCAACCUCCUCAAAUGCUGUCCUAAAGAUACUUCACAGCAAGCAGGGGAGAUGCCAAAGACAAAGGUGAGAGAUUACAGUUGGAGGAAGAAAUAAAACCAUGCUUCGGAGGCAGACCAAAUUGAAGAAUGGAAGACAGAUUUUAAAACCUUCCUUUGAAGACGGCAGUGGGGAUACACCGUAGCAUGAGUGCACUGGGAAUCACAUCCUUCUAUGAAACUUGGCUGUAAUGGCAGCAGCGGAGGGAGAGAGCGGCAGGUUGGGCUCUCAGAUCUUUCCUUUGUCUGGAAGACUUUAUGACACAUAGGCUCCUUUCGAAGCACUUUGAUGGAAGUGAUGUAUGGAGUGAUGUAUACAUUAUGUACACACAUGAGCUUCACCUAUCACAAACAUUCAGACAACGGUUAAUGCGUAUGCUUAAUAUGGCAAGAAUUACCAUCUAGAUAUUCCUCAGGCUUUUCAACCUUCGAAUCUUUAAGAACUUAUUAGCCUUUAUUUGACCUCUGACCUUCUGCCUUUGAUGCCUGGUCAGCUUGGGGGAAUCACAGGACUCACAUCACCUUGGCUAUAAAAUGCAUCCUCUUGAUCCUCUGUCGUCAUCUCCACACCCAUGGACGGUAACUUGACCUAUCACUAUCCAGACUCCUUUCAUGGGAAGGCGUAGGGGCAUUGGUAGCCCAGACUCUCAUCUUUGCGUACCUGACCCCUGUCUGUGGUCUGACUCUUCCCUUUCCCAGCCAGGGUCUAUAGGAGUCUUUCUAGAGAGCAGUCACUGUGUGUUCAAAUGUCUUCAGUACGUUUGUUCUUCCUGAUGUUCUUUGCUCCAUGUCAUCGCUGUCCAGAAUCCUUCACUGGUAACGUCUACCCAGCCUGUAAGACACUUGCUUCAUGAAAUACUCCCAGGCUCUACCUCUCCAGCUAAACUCCCACAGGUGGCUUCAGCGGUUUCAGCAUUCCGCACAUCCACACUGAUCGGCACAUGUCGCAAGACCCUGUUCUGGCCAAGAUAAUAGGAAAGGCAUUCAUCUGGGAAGCUCUGGAAAAGUUUUUCACUCAGGCUCAAGAUGGAGCCCAGUUGUCAUCAGAAGGGCUUCCUCCCGCAGCUGAUGGGAGCAGACACAAGGCAAAACAUUGAAAGAGGAAAUAUAGAUGAUAACAAGUUAGCACUCCUUAACAUGUGAGGCAGUGCAGCACACUAGGACCGAUGUUGUGAGGGAUAUUUCCAUCUCGGUGCAAGAAAACAUUGUACACUAGCAAACAGUGAAUGGGAUCUAAGGCUUUGUGGUAGUUUGAAUGAGAAGUGUAACCCACAGGCUCCGUGCUUUGUGCCUAGUUGGUGACUGUUUGAGGACACUUAGGAGGUACCAGAGGACGCACACCACAGGGACAGGCUCUGAGGUGACAUCUUCCGGCCCUACUUCUAGCUUGCUCCCUUCGCUUUGUGUCACAUGUGAGCAUGUGGGCGCUCCA